CAGCCAAACAGGGAGAAUCGGACCCUGAGAGGAAGGAGACGCGACAGAAAGUGGACGAUGACAGGAAACACGAGAUUGAGGCGGCUAUCGUUCGGAUCAUGAAGUCCAGAAAGAAGAUGCAGCACAAUGUUCUAGUAGCAGAGGUAACCCAGCAGCUGAAGGUGCGAUUCCUUCCCAGUCCUGUGGUCAUUAAAAAGCGUAUUGAAGGACUUAUCGAGAGAGAAUACUUGGCAAGAACAC